UCGUGCCAGCCACCGCGGUUAUACGAGAGACCCUAGUUGAUUGAAACGGCGUAAAGAGUGGUUAUGGAAUUCUUUUCUUAAAGCAGAAAACCUCUCAAACUGUUAUACGCACCCAGAGGUUAAAAUACCUCACACGAAAGUGACUUUAUCUUCGCCUACCAGAACCCACGAAAGCUAGGACACAAACUGGGAUUAGAUACCCCACUAUG
rnacentral:rRNA from 1 species